UACGGAGGGUGCAAGCGUUAUCCGGAUUCACUGGGUUUAAAGGGUGCGUAGGUGGGCAAGUAAGUCAGUGGUGAAAUCUCCGGGCUUAACCCGGAAACUGCCAUUGAUACUAUUUGUCUUGAAUACUGUGGAGGCCAGCGGAAUAUGUCAUGUAGCGGUGAAAUGCUUAGAUAUGACAUAGAACACCAAUUGCGAAGGCAGCUGGCUACACAAAUAUUGACACUGAGGCACGAAAGCGUGGGGAUCAAACAGG
rnacentral:rRNA from 1 species